GUUUCCUAUGGAUAAAAUUCCAGGUGUGAUGUUUAUGGAACAUCUAAAUAUCAUAUUUAAUGGCUUCUUAAUGACUGUUGCCAAAUGUUUGAAAGAAUUAUUUAUAAAAAUUUACAAAGCUGUGAGUAUGCAGGUACCUGCUCAUUUUACCAAAACCUAGCCAGACUGUUUUAUUUUAUUUUAUUUUGUGGUCUUAAAACAUGAUUAUAUCUGCUUCCUUGUUAACUUGAAAUACCCAAAUGACUGAAUCAGAUAAGUUUUUUUCUUAAUCCCAGCAUUAUCUAAUAGAACAAUUUUAUGUUUUUUAUAGACAAUAAUGUCAGUGCUCCUUUGGUAAUGAAUAUUUAAAGAAAUUUCAUUGGAAAUUUUUAUUAUUUUUUUAUCUGCUUUAGAUACUGAACCAUGUACUGAAUUCCAACCUGAAAGCGUGCUUUUUAAAAAUAGAAAUUUUUCAGUGACUUUCAAUAUUAGUAUUUUUCCCUAAAUGUUCUGGAUUUAAAAGGUAUCUUUUGCCAUUAAUUAUUCCUUGAUAAGAAUAAAAACCUUGCUAACUACCUGACAGAUCUUUGUAACCUGUACUGUUAAAUAAAUGUUAGAAAUUUCUAAUGCCACGGUGUUUUUAGAGAGUUUUGAAAAACCAGAAAUCAUAGCUGUUACAAUGUACAAAGAUGAGCCAUUCAGAAAGAAGUGCUGAGUCAUCAUUGUUGGCCUAUACUGUGUGUGUGUGUAUAAAAUUACCAUUUCUUCAAAGAUUAACACAUGGUUAUCUCCUUUUUGUUGUUAUUGUUGUUAUUUUUGUUGGUGGUACUGGGGAUUGAACCCAGGGACAUUCUACCACAGAGCUAUAUAUCCCCAGCUCUUUUUUAAAAUUUUGAGACAGGGCUGGCUGGUCUGGAAGUUGUGAACCUCCUACCUCAGCCUCCCAAGUAGCUGGGAUUAUAGGUGUGUGUGCCACCACACCUGACCUUUUCAUUAUAUUCUAAACAUAUAUGUCUAUUUUCUAGUAAAGUGUUUUGUUUUGGGGUGUGUGUGUGUUACUAGGAUUGAACCCAGGAACUGGCACAUGCCAGGAUAGCACUCUGAGGUAUACCUCAGACCUCAUAGUUUUUUUCCCCCAUGUUUAUAGACACUGACUAUGAACUGGAUACAAUUCUUUUGAAAUUUUCUUAUUAAUCUAU
rnacentral:lncRNA from 1 species